CCGGCUCACCUGCCCGAGGGCAGAGCGGAAGCUCCGCCCCUGGCGGAACCCCGUCCUGUGCGCAGUUCCCGUGCGGGAGGAGUUGGCGGCGGGGCCCAGCCGAGAAUCUUCUUCCCUUCUGGUCUGACUAGGAAAGCCAGAGGGAGAUGGUGAAGGAGACAGAGAGAGUAAAAGAGCAGACCAUGCCAAGCCUCUCCACUGCAGGAGCUUGGAAUCAGGGCAAAUGAACUCAGAAGACAGAACAGUUUGAAUGCAUCAGGAAAACGGGCUGAAACAUCUGGAAAAAUCCCUUUGAGAUUGAAAGCGUAUGAUGCACAACAAAGCCAACAACAAAGUCUCAAUCUUAGUGCUUUUGCUAUUUCUUGAUUGCAGUGAAGCAGAGUUGCCAGCCAUCUAUGGAUCCUAACUAAAUUGGUCCUUGUAA